UUAAUACUCCCUCCGUCCGGAAAUACUUGUCCUAGAAAAGGAUGUAUCUAGACUUGUUUUAGUUAUAGAUACAUCCAAUUUAUCCAUUUUGAGAACCAAUAUUUCCAGAUGGAGGGAGUACCUA
rfam:Triticum aestivum genome assembly, contig: Triticum_aestivum_CS42_TGACv1_scaffold_092885_2AL